rnacentral:rRNA from 1 species
AUGGACCACGCGGGCUCCAUGGAGGAGAGGAUCGUGGCGGACCGGAUCCGGAAGAAGCUGGAGGAGGUGAACGUCGCCGCCCACAAGCACCUCGAGGGCGUGCAGGACCAUGUCAACUUCACUCUGCAGAAAGAGUACUUCAAGUGUGCACAUGACUGCUUCGAUAGGCGACGGACUCAAGAGGGGAUCACCAGCUGUGUAGAGAACUGUGGUGUGCCCGCUCUUUCUGCCAACAAUGUUGUUGAGACCGAGAUGGCCAAGUUCCAGGAAAGGUUGAAUCGCUCGUUGAUGGUCUGCCAAGACAAGUUUGAAGCAGCAAAGCUCCAGAAGAUGAAGACAGACGCAACCAAUGAGCUGGAGUCGUGCGUGAACAGAUCCAUCGACGACAGCAUCAGGGUCCUGCCCCAUCUGGUUGAGCAGAUCAAGUCCACCAUUAAUAUGAAGUAG